rnacentral:hammerhead_ribozyme from 1 species
AUUCAGAUUACUAGUCCCAAAUAGGACGAAACGCGCGUCAAACUGGAU